rnacentral:rRNA from 1 species
CCUACGGGAGGCAGCAGUGAGGAAUAUUGGUCAAUGGACGAGAGUCUGAACCAGCCAAGUAGCGUGAAGGAUGACUGCCCUAUGGGUUGUAAACUUCUUUUAUAAAGGAAUAAAACGAGGCACGUGUGCCUUUUUGCAUGUACUUUAUGAAUAAGGAUCGGCUAACUCCGUGCCAGCAGCCGCGGUAAUACGGAGGAUCCGAGCGUUAUCCGGAUUUAUUGGGUUUAAAGGGAGCGUAGAUGGGUUGUUAAGUCAGUUGUGAAAGUUUGCGGCUCAACCGUAAAAUUGCAAUUGAUACUGGCAGUCGUGAGUACAGUUGAGGUAGGCGGAAUUCGUGGUGUAGCGGUGAAAUGCUUAGAUAUCACGAAGAACCCCGAGUGCGAAGGCAGCUUACUAACCUGUGACUGACAUUGAUGCUCGAAAGUGUGGGUAUCAAACAGGAUUAGAUACCCGGGUAGUC